UUCUAAAUCAUCUGUUGAUAAAAUGUGUUAUAGUAGAUUAGAAUGAGGAAUAGCCAUAUUUUUCAAUUGAAGAUGGUUUCAUGAUUUCUAUUAACUGUUUGCACAUGCAGACGGGUGACACAUCAAAGGACGACCCUACUCUGGAAAUGCAGAUGUUUCCAUGCAGGUUACCAAGGGUUACCGUAAAACGAUGAUAUGGACGCCACGGCCUUUGCAGCCACAGGUUGUCCUUAACCCUUGUGUUGUCCUCGGGUCAAAUUUGACCAAUUUUCAGGUUUUUCAUCAAAAGAAAUAAGCUGAAAAUCAAAUAGCUUUGGAAAGAACAU